UUUGCCAUGAAGAUAACCUUAGAUGCUAACAUGGCGAUCAGAAUAUAUAACUACUGCUACUUCUACCACAAAUGUCUCAUGGAGGAGGGAUUGUUUAAUGGGUUUGUGAUGCUGUCAGCCGAUUUGAGUUAAUCUACAUACAGGAUGCCGCAGUGUCAGCGCUGGCAGCAUUGUGUCGGCAGUAUUAUCGGGUUGAACCAGGGGUAGCCCAUGCGUAAAUGCAAGAUCAGCUGGUUAGUUAAUACCUGUCGGCCCUGAAGAGUCCCGAGGUUCUGACGCACUGUGGCUGCGCUCUCGCCCUGGGCUCACUGCCUCUGUUUAUGAUCCGUGGCAAACUCCAGAAGAUCUUGCCUGGGCUCCAGGCUGCCUGUAAGGUAGUGCAGAAAGAAGAAAGUCUAACAGAAGCCAGGAGGGAUGCGGCCACAGCCAUGUCUCAGGUGUGUGUAGCUGUAGGAGUGUGUGCGCGAGGCAGCCCCGACCGUGUCCUGUGUGAGGACAACACAAGGCCUGUGUAUGAAGCCUUGCUGGGCUGUAUGAACGACUACAGCACAGACA